GGGGUGAGGAGCGGCUGUGAAUAGUGACCCUCGAAGUUUGCACCCUUCGACAAAUCAAGCGAUUCGGCUGACGAGGGAUCGGAUCAGCCGAGUUCAAAAACCUUUACCGUAAAUUGUUGGUUCGGCUGGAAGAGCCGAAUGUAUGAACUGUGCAAGGAUCAAUGUCGGCAGAAGUGCCGAAUGGAAGAAGUACACAGUAACUGGUCGGCUGAAAGAGCCGAAUGGAAGAAGUACACAAUGGCUGGUCGACUGAAAGAGCUGAAUGGAAGAAGUACACAAUGACUGGUCGGCUGAAAGAGCCG
rnacentral:lncRNA from 1 species